rnacentral:misc_RNA from 1 species
GAUGAAGAACGUAGCGAAAUGCGAUACGUAAUGUGAAUUGCAGAAUUCAGUGAAUCAUCGAGUCUUUGAACGCACAUUGCGCCCCCUGGUAUUCCGGGGGGCAUGCCUGUCCGAGCGUCAUUGCUGCCCUUCAAGCCCGGCUUGUGUGUUGGGUCGUCGUCCCCCCGGGGGACGGGCCCGAAAGGCAGCGGCGGCACCGCGUCCGGUCCUCGAGCGUAUGGGGCUUUGUCACCCGCUCGAUUAGGGCCGGCCGGGCGCCAGCCGGCGUCUCCAACCUUCUAUUUUACCAGGUUGACCUCGGAUCAGGUAGGGAUACCCGCUGAACUUAAGCAUAUCAAUAAGCGGAGGA